UUCCAGCACCAUUUGUUGAAAAGACUAUUCUUUCCCCAUUGAAUGGUCUUGGCACCCUUGUCAAAAGUCAUUUGACCACAUACAUGAGAGUCUAUUCCUGGGCCUCCUGGUCCAUUCCACUGAGCUACA